ACGGCCAUACCAUGCUGAAUAUACCGGUUCUCGUUAGAUCACCGAAGUCAAGCAUCAUUGGGCGCGGUCACUGCGGUGGUGACCACCUGGGAACAACGUGCCGUUG
rnacentral:rRNA from 1 species